CGUACGGGCGGCUGCAGUGGGGAAUAUUGGACAAUGGGCGAAAGCCUGAUCCAGCCAUGCCGCGUGUGUGAAGAAGGCCUUCGGGUUGUAAAGCACUUUCAGUGGGGAAGAAAGCCUUGGGGCUAAUACCCUCGAGGAAGGACAUCACCCACAGAAGAAGCACCGGCUAACUCCGUGCCAGCAGCCGCGGUAAUACGGAGGGUGCGAGCGUUAAUCGGAAUUACUGGGCGUAAAGCGCGCGUAGGCGGUCUGAUAAGCCGGUUGUGAAAGCCCCGGGCUCAACCUGGGAACGGCAUCCGGAACUGUCAGGCUAGAGUGCAGGAGAGGAAGGUAGAAUUCCCGGUGUAGCGGUGAAAUGCGUAGAGAUCGGGAGGAAUACCAGUGGCGAAGGCGGCCUUCUGGACUGACACUGACGCUGAGGUGCGAAAGCGUGGGUAGCAAACAGGAUUAGAUACCCGAGUAGUC
rnacentral:rRNA from 1 species